ensembl:lncRNA
UGCAGCAGAAACAUCUUUAACGACAGAGUCUUCCACAAUCCCAACUAUUCCUGCUGAAACACCCACCACUAGUGCAAAAGAAACAUAUACUACAACAGAGACUUCCAAAACAACGACUCCUGCUGAAACAUCCAAUACUAGUGCAGCAGAAAAAUAUACUACACAGAUAUCCACCAUCACAAAAAUUCCUGCUGAAACAUCCACCACUAGUGCUGCAGAAACGUCUUCAACAACAGAGACUUCCACAAUCACAACAAUUCCUGCUGAAACCUCUACUAUCAAUGUAACACAAACAUCUACAACAACAGAGAGUUCCACAAUCACAACAAUUCCAGCUGAAACAUCCACUAUCAGUGCAGCAGAAAUAUCUACAACAGAGACUUCAACAAUCACAAUAAUUCCAGCUGAAACAUCCACUACUAGUGCAGCAGAAACAUCUACAACAACAGAGACUUCCAUAAUCACUACUCCUGCUGAAAUAUCUACUAUCAGUGAAGCAGAAACAUCUACAACAAAAGAGACUUCCACAAUCAAAUCAACUACACCUGAAAUAUCCACCCCUAGUGAGGCAGAAAUAUCUACUACAAAAGAAACAUCCACAAUCAGGACUCCUGCUGAAACAUCCUCCGUUAGUGUAGCAGAAAUAUCUUCAACAACAGAGACUUCCACAAUCACAACAAUUCCUGCUGAAACCUCUACUAUCAGUGUAGCAGAAACAUCUACAACAAUGGAGACUUCCACAAUCACGACUCCUGCUGAAACAUCCACCACUAGUGCUGCAGAAACAUUUACAACAACAGAGACUUCCACAAUCACGACUCCUGUUGAAACAUCCACUACUGGUGCUGCAGAAACAUUUACAACAACAGAGACUUCUACAAUAACUACUCCUGCUGAAACAUCCACCAGUAGUGCAGCAGAAACAUCUUUAACAACAGAGACUUCCACAAUCACAACAACACCUGCUGAAACACCCACCACCAUUGCAAAUGAAACAUCUACUACAACAGAGACUUCCACAACAACAACUCCUGCUGAAACAUCCACUACUAGUGCAGCAGAAAAAUCUACUACACAGAUAUCCACCAUCACAACAAUUCCUGCUGAAACAUCCACCACUAGUGCUGCAGAAACAUUUACAACAACAGAGACUUACACAAUCACAACAACUCCUUCUGAAACAUCCACCACUAGUGCAGCAGAAACAUCUACAACAACAGACACAUCCACAAUCACAGCAACUCCUGCUAAAACAUCCCCCGCUAGUGCAACAGAAACAUCAUCAAUAACAAAGACUUCCACAAUCACUACUUCUGCUGAAAUAUCUACUAUCAGUGAAACAGAAAUAUCUACAACAAAAGAGUCUUCAACAAUAACGAUUCCUGCUGAAAAACCCACCCCUAGUGUAGCAGAAACAUCUAUAACAACAGAGACUUCCACAAUCACAACAAUUCCUGCUGAAACCUCUACUAUCAGUGUAGCAGAAACAUCUACAACAAUGGAGACUUCCACAAUCACGACUCCUGCUGAAACAUCCACCACUAGUGCUGCAGAAACAUUUACAACAACAGAGACUUCUACAAUAACUACUCCUGCUGAAACAUCCACCAGUAGUGCAGCAGAAACAUCUAUAACAACAGAGACUUCCACAAUCACAACAAUUCCUGCUGAAACACCCACCACUAUUGCAAAAGAAACAUCUACAACAACAGAGACUUCCAUAAUCACUACUCCUGCUGAAAUAUCUACUAUCAGUGAAGCAGAAAUAUCUACAACAAAAGAGACUUCCACAAUCACGACUCCUGUUGAAACAUCCACUACUAGUGCUGCAGAAACAUUUACAACAACAGAGACUUCCACAAUCACAACAAUUCCUUCUGAAACAUCCACCACUAGUGCAGCAGAAACAUCUUUAACCGCAGAGACUUCCACAAGCACAACAACUCCAGCUGUAAUAUCCACUAUCCGUGUAGCAGAAACAUCUACAACAACAGAGACUUCAACUAUCAAAUCAACUACACCUGAAAUAUCCACCCCUAGUGAAGCAGAAAUAUCUACUACAAAAGAGACAUCCACAAUCAUGACUCCUGCUGAAACAUCCUCCGUUAGUGUAGCAGAAACAUCUUCUACAACAGGGAAUUCCACAAUAAAGACUCCUGCUGAAACAUCCAGAACUAGUACAGCAGAAACAUCUGCAACCACAGAGACUUCCACAAUAACGACUCCCACUGAAACAUCCACCACUAGUAAAGCAGAAACAUCUACAUCAACAGAGACUUUCACAAUCACGACUCCUGCUGAAACAUCCACCACUAGUGUAGCAGAAAUAUCUUCAACAACAGAGACUUCCACAAUCACAACAACUGCACCAGAAAUAUCUAUAACAACAGAGACUUCAACAAUCACAAUAAUUCCAGCUGAAACAUCCACUACUAGUGCAGCAGAAACAUCUUCAACAACAGAGACUUCCACAAAAAUUACACCUGCUGAAACAUCCACCACUAGUGCAGCAGAAACAUCUACAACAACAGAGACUUCCACAAUCACUACUCCUGCUGAAACAUCAACCACUACUGAAGCAGAAACAUCUACUUCAAAAGAAACUUCCACAGUCCCAACAGAUCCUACUGAAUCAUCGACCACUAAUGCAGCAGAAACAUCCACAACAACAGAGACUUCAACAAUAACGACUCCUGCUGAAACAUCCACAACUAGUGCAGCAGAAACAUCUACAAGCACAGAGACUUCCACAAUAACGACAACUGCUGAAAAAUCCACCACUAGUAAAGUAGAAUCAUCUACAACAACAGAGACUUACACAAUCACAACAAUUCCAGCUGAAACAUCCACCAUCAAUGCAGCAGAAUUACCUACAACAAAAGACACUUCAACGAUCACAAUAAUUCCAGCUGAAACAUCCACCACUAAUGCAGCAGAAACAUCUACAAGCACAGAGACUUCCACAAUAAUGACACCUGCUGAAACAUUCACCACUAGUAAACUAGACACAUCUACAACAACAGAGACUUCCACAAUCACUACUCCUGCUGAAACAUCAACCACAACUGAAGCAGAAACAUCUACAUCAAAAGAGACUUCCACAAUCACAACAAAUCCUGCUGAAUCAUCCACCACUAAUGCAGCAGAAACAUCUACAACAACAAAGACUUCCACAAUAACAACUCCUGCUGAAACAUCCAAAACUAGUGCAGCAGAAACAUCUACAAGCACAGAGACUUCCACAAUAAUGACACCUGCUGAAACAUCCACCACUAGUAAAGUAGAAACAUCUACAACAACAGUGACUUCCACAAUCACAACAAUUCCUGCUGAAACAUCCACCACCAGUGCAGCAGAAAUAUCUACAACAACAGAGACUUCAACGAUCACAAUAAUUCCAGCUGAAACAUCCACUACGAGUGCAGGAGAAACAUCUACAACAACAGAGACUUCCACAAUCACAACAAUUCCUGCUGAAACAUCGACCACUGAUGUACCAGAAAUGACUUCAACAACAGAGACUUCCACAAUCACAACAAUUCCUGCUGAAACAUCGACCACUGAUGUACCAGAAAUGACUUCAACAACAGAGACUUCCACAAUCACAAGAAUUCCUGCUGAAACCUCUACUAUCAUUGUAGCAGAAACAUAUACAGCAACAGAGACUUCAGCAAUCACAACUACACCUGAAAUAUCCUCCACUAGUGAAGCAGAAACAUUUACUACAAAAGAAACUUCCACAAUCACGAUUCCUUCUGAAACAUCCAAAGAAAGUGUAGCAGAAAUAUCUUCAACAACAGAGACUUCCACAUUCACAACAACUGCGGUUGAAACAUCCACAAUUAGUGCAGCAGAAACAUCUACAAGAACUGAUACUUCCACAAUUACAACAAAUCCUGCUGAGACUUCCACCACUAGUGCAGCAGAAACAUCUUCAACAACAGAGACUUCCACAAUCACUACUCCUGCUGUAACAUCAACCACUACUGAAGCAGAAAUAUCUACUUCAAAAGAGACUACCACAAUAACGACUCCUGCUGAAACAUCCACAACUAGUGCAGCAGAAACAUCUACAAGAACUGAUACUUCCACAAUUACAACAAAUCCUGCUGAGACUUCCACCACUAGUGCAGCAGAAACAUCUACAACAACAGAGAGUUCCGCAAUCACAACACUUCCAGCUGAAACAUCCACCAUCAGUGCAGCAGAAAUAUCUACAACAAAAGAGACUUCAACGAUCACAAUAAUUCCAGCUGAAACAUUCACUACUAGUGCAGCAGAAACAUCUUCAACAACAGAGACUUCCACAAUCACUACUCCUGCUGUAACAUCAACCACUACUGAAGCAGAAAUAUCUACUUCAAAAGAGACUUCCACAAUAACGACUCCUGCUGAAACAUCCACAACUAGUGCAGCAGAAACAUCUACAAGCACACAGACUUCCAGAAUAACGACACCUGCUGAAACAUCCACCACUAGUAAAGUAGAAACAUCUACAACAACAGAGACUCCCACAAUCACAACAAUUUCUGCUGGAACAUCGACCACUAAUGUACCAGAAAUGACUUCCACAACAGAGACUUCCACAAUCACAACAAUUCCUGCUGAAACAUCUACCAUUAGUGCUAUGGAAACUUCUUUAACAACAGAGACUUCCACACUCACAACAACUGC